UACGGGGGGAGCAAGCGUUGUUCGGAUUUACUGGGCGUAAAGGGCGCGUAGGCGGUCGUGACAAGUCACUUGUGAAAUCUCCGGGCUUAACUCGGAACGGUCAAGUGAUACUGUCGGACUAGAGUACAGAAGGGGCAACUGGAAUUCUCGGUGUAGCGGUGAAAUGCGUAGAUAUCGAGAGGAACACCUGCGGCGAAGGCGGGUUGCUGGGCCGACACUGACGCUGAGGCGCGAAAGCCAGGGGAGCGAACGGGG
rnacentral:rRNA from 1 species